GAGUCUGGCCUGCCCGGUGAAUAAAAAUUUAACGGCCGCGGUACUCUGACCGUGCGAAGGUAGCAUAAUCAUUUGUCUUAUAAUUGAAGUCUGGAAUGAAAGGUUUAACAAGGGUGAAGCUGUCUCUAGUCUUUUGCUAGAACUUAAUUAUUAAGUUAAAAGGCUUAAGUUAAAUUAGAAGACGAGAAGACCCUAUCGAACUUGAGGAAAAUUUAUGUAAUUCUUAACAUAAAUGGAAAUAGAAUGUAUAAAAAACUUUGGUUGGGGCGACCUGGGAACAAGAAAAGCUUCCUUCUAAGAAAAAAUUUAUAAGUUAUGAUCCACUUUUAGUGAUCAAGAGAAUUAGUUACCGUAGGGAUAACAGCAUUAUCUUUUUUGAGAGCUCAUAUCGAAAAAGAGGUUUGUGACCUCGAUGUUGGACCAGGAUAACCUAGAGAUGUAGAAGUCUCUAAAUGGUUGGUC
rnacentral:rRNA from 1 species